UAGAGAGAUCUAGACCUAGAAGGAGGGACGGGGGUGGAAAUGGACAGUCCCAGGACAGUUGACCUCUGUUCACCACUUACAUCCUAACGAAUAACCGACCAGCUUUGAUUUUGUAGAACUCAAGAGCCGGCUGGUUUGGUGCAUUAGUGAACUCUGGAAGGACAGAAACUCCAGGAACCUAUUACCUUAAGGAGCCCCGGAGACACCUUGGUUGCAUAACCCAGCCGCAGUAGCCUGCAGGGCUGGGCGCUCCUGCUGCUGACGCCGCAGUGGGCUGGGCUGCAGGGGGGAGGAGGGGCUGGCUGCCGGGGAGGCUGGGCUGGGUGGCUGCUGGAGGAGCCCAGGGAAGAGCAGGGGCAGGGCGUGCCUUUCCAGCUCGCCUCAGAACUGAAGGAGGCAGAGGUGUCCCGUCCGGGGUUGUGCACUGUGGCCAGCGGGGAGCAGCAAAAACCUGGUAAAACCUUGGGAGAGGAGAGAAUGACCCAAGCUAGAAACAGAGAUGCUGCUAGAACUCGGGAUGCCCAGGAGCUCAGGGGUCUUGGGCAUAAAUUCCAGGCCUCUCCUACCCAACCAAGUUACUGAUUUUCGCCAAGCCUAUUUCUAAAAUAGAUACAAUAAAAACGACCUUUUUGCUUUUGCCAGGAUCAAACGAAUAUAAACUCAUCAUGCAGA